GCGCUGUGCCCAGUACAAGAAGGAUGGAGCUGACUUCGCCAAGUGGCGUUGUGUGCUGAAGAUUGGGGAACACACCCCCUCAGCCCUCGCCAUCAUGGAAAAUGCCAAUGUCCUGGCCCGUUAUGCCAGCAUCUGCCAGCAGAAUGGCAUUGUGCCCAUCGUGGAGCCUGAGAUCCUCCCUGAUGGGGACCAUGACUUGAAGCGCUGCCAGUAUGUGACCGAGAAGGUAAGUGGCUGCCUCAGUGCAAGGUGGCUGGGCGGGGACCCUGGGGCUAACCCCAUCCUCUCCUCCACCCCACUACUCCUCGUGCGCCUGCUCUGUUCCAGGUGCUGGCUGCUGUCUACAAGGCUCUGAGU
rnacentral:sRNA from 1 species